CCUGCGAUAGCUCAGUUGGUAGAGCGGAGGACUUUAGAUCCGUAGGUCGCUGGUUUGACUCCGGCUCGAAGGA
rnacentral:tRNA from 1 species